UAGCCAUGUGACCUCAGGGAGCUCGUUGAGCCUGUUUCCUCGUCUGCGAAAUAAGGUACUACAAUCGGCUUUAUGGCGUCACGCAGCAAGAGCAUGGGUGACAUUUAGGGCAGUCAUUAACGCUAUGGCAGGAAAGCGGAUGAUUCGAGCCCAGGGCCCGGCAGAGAGGGCGCCCCAUAGCACACUGAGGUCUGAGAGUGCGCGUCCUGGCAUCUAAUUGAAUCUCUACUACGAUGUGUGUGGGUUCCAGCUCUCUCAGAAGCAGACCCUGAGAGAAGGACUGAUGUGCAAGCAGCUAUGUGGGAGCUGAUCCCAGGAAACGCCUGUAGGGGAGAGGGAAAGGAAGCCGCCCAAGUACCUGCAGGGACUUCACUGAGAAAUAAAUGACUGAGGCUUCCGCUGUGGACAACCGGGCUCAAGCCUGUUGGGACAUUCACGUCGACUGCUUGACGGAAUCUAGCUCUGUUGCCCAGGCUGGAAUACAUUGGCGCGAUCUUGGCUCACUGCAACCUCCACCUCCUGGAUUCAAGCCAUUCUCCUGCAUCAGUCUCCUGAGUAGCUGGGACUACAGGCAUGCACCACCACACCCGGGCUGUGAUGUUUGGAGCUGGCACAGUCAUCUUAUCUCCUUGAAGCGUAACAUCAUCAACAUGCUGAGGAUGGAGGAGCAGAGAGCUGAAAGGAGCCUGGGCCCUGGUGAGCAUGUUUAAUUAGCAGAUCCCAACAGCAGAACCUAAGACACCAGAGGAAAAGUUCUUCCUCUUCUACAGUUCCUUGCUGCCCAGGCCAUCUUAUUUAAUAGGCAUACAAAGAAUCAGAAAUAAGAAUACCAUAAGACAUCUCAACAGCAAUAUGGAAAGUUAGAAUAUAGCAAAAGGAUAUCUUCAAAGCUCAAAAAGACUACCAAUCACCAGUUGUGGUUUGUGAUUUGGACAGAUGAGGGUUUGGAUUCUGAACAUCCCAUCUUUGAGAAUGAACACACCACUAAUCUCAGGCAAGCUACUCAACCUUGUUCUCCACUGUGGACAAUCAAGUGAUAUAACCCAACUCACAGGAUUGUUUGGGUCAUUAAGUGAAAUAAAAUGUGUCAACUCCCUAUUAGUAUCUGGGACAUGGUAAUUGAUUAAU